rnacentral:rRNA from 1 species
GACGAACGCUGGCGUCGUGCUUAACACAUGCAAGUCGAACGGAAAGGCCCUGCUUUUGUGGGGUGCUCGAGUGGCGAACGGGUGAGUAACACGUGAGUAACCUGCCCUUGACUUUGGGAUAACUUCAGGAAACUGGGGCUAAUACCGGAUAGGAGCUCCUGCUGCAUGGUGGGGGUUGGAAAGUUUCGGCGGUUGGGGAUGGACUCGCGGCUUAUCAGCUUGUUGGUGGGGUAGUGGCUUACCAAGGCUUUGACGGGUAGCCGGCCUGGGAGGGUGACCGGCCACAUUGGGCCUGAGAUACGGCCCAGACUCCUACGGGAGGCAGCAGUGGGGAAUAUUGCACAAUGGGCGGAAGCCUGAUGCAGCAACGCCGCGUGCGGGAUGACGGCCUUCGGGUUGUAAACCGCUUUCGCCUGUGACGAAGCGUGAGUGACGGUAAUGGGUAAAGAAGCACCGGCUAACUACGUG